rnacentral:siRNA from 1 species
ACUGAUUUGGCCAUCUAUGUCACC